rnacentral:rRNA from 1 species
UGUAAGCGUAUACCAAAGUUGUUGCAGUUAAAACGCUCGUAGUCGGAAUUUGGCAGUUCCGGAUGUGUGCACGUCGUGUGCGCACUUCGCGGGGAUUGCUUUUGUGGUCUUACGUAGGAUGAGGCACUUUUAUUAGUGAACGUCCUCACGCAACCACUUUUUACUGUGAGAAAAUCAGAGUGCUCAAAGCAGGCAUUUGCCGUGAAUGUAUUAGCAUGGAAUAAUAGAAUAGGACUUGGUUCUAUUUUGUUGGUUUGUUGGGACUGAGUAAUGAUUAAGAGGGACAGUUGGGGGCAUUUGUAUUUCGGUGCUAGAGGUGAAAUUCUUAGAUUACCGAAAGACAAACUGCUGCGAAAGCGUCUGCCAAGGAUGUUUUCAUUGA